UGUGAAUAAGUGUUUUUUGCACAUUUGUUUUUGAUACAAAAGGUUAAAAUUUAAAUAUUUAAUUUGCAG
rnacentral:tRNA from 1 species